GGGGUAUAAAUAGGGCUCUUCCUCUGUCGCAGACGGCAGUGUCACAGUUUGUACCGUUCCCAUUUACUUUUAAGAAGUUGUUAAUGCUGUUGAUGUUGUUCUACGCCUUCCUGUCCCCAAAAAGCCUGAGAGGCUGCACGGCUGCAGGCGUCUCACAGCAGCUCUCCAAAGCCAAGCUCACUGGACGUGACCACCAGGACAAGCCCACGUGACCACGGCGGCCAUUGCCACGUCUUCCAUUCAAGAGGGACCCUGGUUCAGCUUUGCACCGAUUUGCUCAAACAUGACUUGGUAAAGGAUUCCUAGUGGCACAUGCGGGUGCCUGGAUGCACAUGGAGGAUGAGGGCUAUUGGCUCCUGGAGGUUUAAAUGAAGUAGAAAGCAGCAAAUACUUCAUUUCUGUCGCUCAGACUGGCCGAGGCGACUGAAUACGCAAUGGCUCGGGUCAUGCAAUCGCGCACCGCAGCAGUCCAUCCACAGAAAGAUUACAGUCCCAUAAGAGUCCACAAACCGCUGGAUGGGCUGCUCCAAGGCCCCAGAGGAUGGGUGCAUGGAGGGACAACUCUCAAAUCUAUGUUCUCUUUCCCCCAAUAGCAUUGCAGACUAGGCCUUAACCCAGACACUGAAAUGUUAAGGCCCAUUAAUGAACACUUUGCAUGCAUGCAAACCUGGUGUUUUCAAAUAUCCCCUAGGAAAAAAGGCUGAGGAAUGACCAAACACAUUAACCCGCAGCAACAAGGUAGGGCUGCUGUUAAAGUCUCUGCAGCUGGAGUCUUUCUCCACAAGCAGCUGCAGCCUGGAGUAAGACGGGCUUAUACAGUCUCUGCUUCCUCUCCGCCGCUACUGCUUGUCUGAUUGCACAGUGAGACUGCUCCGGACCAGCAACAGUCACAACAUAAGCCUGCAAGAAAAGGGGGUGGAGGGAAAGCCAGGAUUAUAGAAAAACUCGAUUGCUGGGGUACACUG
rnacentral:lncRNA from 1 species